UGGGGUAGAGCUCAAUGGUAGAGUGUGUGCUUAGCAUAUGUGAGGUCCUGGGUUCAAUCCCCAGUACUUCCA
rnacentral:tRNA from 1 species